GUUGAUCCUGCGGGAGGUUGCAGCUAUUGGAGUUCGACUAAGCCAUGCAAGUCUGUUCAGCAAUGGACGGCAAACUGCUCAGUAACACGUCGAUAACCUUACCUUAAGUCUGGGAUACCCUUGGGAAACUAAGGUUAAACCCGGAUAUAAGAUCGUAAUUGGAAAAUGCGCUCUUACAAAAGCAAUGCUUAAGGAUGGGUCGGCGGCUGAUUAGGUAGUUGGUGGGGUAAAGGCCCACCAAGCCGAAGAUCAGUAAAGGCCUUGAGAGAGGUGGCCUUGAGAAGGGCACUUAGACACUGGCCCUAGCCCUACGGGGUGCAGCAGGCGCGAAACCUCUACACUGCACGAAAGUGUGAUAGGGGGACUCCAAGUGCUUAUGCUUUUUGCAUAGGCUUUUGCCAAGGGCAAAUACCUUGGCGAAUAAGUGGUGGGCAAGACGGGUGCCAGCCGCCGCGGUAACACCUGCGCCACAAGUUGGAACCACAUUUAUUGGGCCUAAAGCGUUCGUAGCUUGUUUGAUGAAUCUUUUGUGAAAUCGUUGCGCUUAACGUAACGGCGUGCAAAAGACACUAUCAGACUUGGAACCGGAGAGGGGUUAGGAGUAUUUCUGGGGGAGCGGUAAAAUGCUAUAAUCCCAGAAGGACUGCCAGUGGCGAAGGCGCCUAACCAGAACGGUUUCGACGGUGAGGGACGAAAGCCAGGGGAGCAAUCCGGAUUAGAUACCCGAGUAGUCCUGGCUGUAAACGCUGCGAGCUAGGUGUCACGUAUUUUUGUAAAUACGUGGUGUCGAAGCGAAGGUGUUAAGCUCGCCGCCUGGGAAGUAUGGUCGCAAGGCUGAAACUUAAAGGAAUAGGCGGGGGAGCACCACAAGGGGUGCGGCGUGCGGUUUAAUCUAAUUCAACACAGAACAUCUCACCAGGAGCGACGGCAGGAUGAAAGUCAGGUUAAAGGCCUUACUUGACGAGCCGAGAGGUAGUGCAUGGCCGUCGUCAGCUCGUGCCGCAAGGUGUCCAGUUAAGUCUGGCAACGAGCAAGACCUGUGUCUACAAUUGCUAACAUCAUCUUUAGAUGGUGUGCACAUUGUAGAGACUGCCUUGGAAACAAGGAGGAAGGUGCAGGCCACGGCAGGUCAGUAUGCUCCGAAUCCCCUGGGCUACACGCGCGCAACAAUGGUAAGGACAAUGGGAUACGACUCCGAAAGGAGAAGUUAAGCCUCGAAACCUUACUUUAGUUCAGAUUGAGGGUUGUAACUCACCCUCAUGACGUUGGAAUCCCUAGUAAUCGGACGUCAUUAGCGUCCAGUGAAUGUGUCCCUGCUCCUUGCACUCACCGCCCGUCAAACCACCCGAGCAGGGUUUAGAUGAGAAUCAUCCUAAGGAUAAUUCGAAUCUAGGCUUUGUGAGGAGGGUUAAGUCGUCACAAGGUA
rnacentral:rRNA from 1 species